UAACAAGGAUUCCCCUAGUAACUGCGAGUGAAGCGGGAAAAGCUCAAAUUUAAAAUCUGGCGGUCUUUGGCCGUCCGAGUUGUAGUCUGGAGAAGUGCUUUCCGCGCUGGACCGUGUACAAGUCUCUUGGAACAGAGCCUCAUAGAGGGUGAGAAUCCCGUCUUUGACACGGACUACCAGUGCUUUGUGAUGUGCUCUCAAAGAGUCGAGUUGUUUGGGAAUGCAGCUCAAAAUGGGUGGUAAAUUCCAUCUAAAGCUAAAUAUUGGCGAGAGACCGAUAGCGAACAAGUACCGUGAGGGAAAGAUGAAAAGCACUUUGGAAAGAGAGUUAAACAGUACGUGAAAUUGCUGAAAGGGAAACGCUUGAAGUCAGUCGCGUUGGCCAGGACUCAGCCUUGCUUUUGCUUGGUGCAUUUUCUGGUUGACGGGCCAGCAUCGAUUUUGACCGCUGGAAAAAGGUUAGGGGAAUGUGGCACCUUCGGGUGUGUUAUAGCCCUUAGUCGCAUACAGUGGUUGGGAUCGAGGACCGCAGCACGCCUUUAUGGCCGGGGUUCGCCCACGUUCGUGCUUAGGAUGCUGGCGUAAUGGCUUUAAACGAC
rnacentral:rRNA from 1 species